UGAGGAAUAUUGGUCAAUGGGCGCGAGCCUGAACCAGCCAAGUAGCGUGCAGGAUGACGGCCCUAUGGGUUGUAAACUGCUUUUAUAGGGGGAUAAAGUGUGGGACGUGUCCCAUAUUGCAGGUACCCUAUGAAUAAGGACCGGCUAAUUCCGUGCCAGCAGCCGCGGUAAUACGGAAGGUCCGGGCGUUAUCCGGAUUUAUUGGGUUUAAAGGGAGCGUAGGCCGUCUGUUAAGCGUGUUGUGAAAUGUCGUGGCUCAACCGGGGCACUGCAGCGCGAACUGGCAGACUUGAGUGCACGGUAGGAAGGCGGAAUUCGUCGUGUAGCGGUGAAAUGCUUAGAUAUGACGAAGAACUCCGAUUGCGAAGGCAGCUUUCCGUAGUGUAACUGACGCUGAAGCUCGAAAGCGUGGGUAUCGAACAGGAUUAGAUACCCUGGUAGUCCACGCGGUAAACGAUGGAUGCUCGCUGUUUGCGUCUGACGUAAGCGGCCAAGCGAAAGCGUUAAGCAUCCCACCUGGGGAGUACGCCGGCAACGGUGAAACUCAAAGGAAUUGACGGGGGCCCGCACAAGCGGAGGAACAUGUGGUUUAAUUCGAUGAUACGCGAGGAACCUUACCCGGGCUUGAAUUGCAGGAGAACGAUCCAGAGAUGGUGAGGCCCUUCGGGGCUCCUGUGAAGGUGCUGCAUGGUUGUCGUCAGCUCGUGCCGUGAGGUGUCGGCUCAAGUGCCAUAACGAGCGCAACCCCUGUCCAUAGUUGCCAUCAGGUCGUGCUGGGCACUCUGUGGAGACUGCCGCCGUAAGGUGUGAGGAAGGUGGGGAUGACGUCAAAUCAGCACGGCCCUUACGUCCGGGGCUACACACGUGUUACAAUGGGGCAUACAGCGAGUUGGAUGUGCGCAAGUACGUCCGGAUCAAUAAAGUGCCUCUCAGUUCGGACUGGGGUCUGCAACCCGACCCCACGAAGCUGGAUUCGCUAGUAAUCGCGCAUCAGCCAUGGCGCGGUGAAUACGUUCCC
rnacentral:rRNA from 1 species